GCAUGGGGAUAGCCUUUCUAAAGUGUUUCUGGACAAUUCUAUUUUAUCAAGACUAUCGCAACCAUGCAAAAAGCAACGGCAAAAACCGUUGCUUUUUUGUUU
rfam:Streptococcus pseudoporcinus LQ 940-04 Contig1216510750, whole genome shotgun sequence.